GAGUUUGAUCCUGGCUCAGAACGAACGCUGGCGGCAUGCCUAACACAUGCAAGUCGAACGAGAUCUUCGGAUCUAGUGGCGCACGGGUGCGUAACGCGUGGGAAUCUACCCUUGGGUUCGGAAUAACAGUUAGAAAUGACUGCUAAUACCGGAUGAUGACGAAAGUCCAAAGAUUUAUCGCCCAAGGAUGAGCCCGCGUAGGAUUAGCUAGUUGGUGGGGUAAAGGCCUACCAAGGCGAACGAUCCUUAGUUGGUCUGAGAGGAUGAUCAGCCACACUGGGACUGAGACACGGCCCAGACUCCUACGGGAGGCAGCAGUGGGGAAUAUUGGACAAUGGGCGAAAGCCUGAUCCAGCAAUGCCGCGUGAGUGAUGAAGGCCUUAGGGUUGUAAAGCUCUUUUACCCGGGAUGAUAAUGACAGUACCGGGAGAAUAAGCUCCGGCUAACUCCGUGCCAGCCGCCGCGGUAAG
rnacentral:rRNA from 1 species